UGGGGAAUAUUGGGCAAUGGGGGAAACCCUGACCCAGCAACGCCGCGUGAAGGAAGAAGGUUUUCGGAUCGUAAACUUCUAUCCUUGGUGAAAAUAGUGAUGGUAGCCAAGAAGGAAGCCCCGGCUAACUACGUGCCAGCAGCCGCGGUAAUACGUAGGGGGCAAGCGUUGUCCGGAAUGAUUGGGCGUAAAGGGCGCGUAGGCGGCCUGGUAAGUUUGAAGUGAAAGUCCUUCUUUUAAGGAGGGAACUGCUUUGAAAACUGUCGGGCUUGAGUGCAGGAGAGGUAAGCGGAAUUCCCGGUGUAGCGGUGAAAUGCGUAGAGAUCGGGAGGAACACCAGUGGCGAAGGCGGCUUACUGGACUGUUACUGACGCUGAGGCGCGAAAGUGUGGGGAGCAAACAGGAUUAGAUACCCUGGUAGUCCACACUGUAAACGAUGAAUGCUAGGUGUAGGGGGUAUCGACCCCUUCUGUGCCGGAGUAAACACAAUAAGCAUUCCGCCUGGGGAGUACGGCCGCAAGGUUGAAACUCAAAGGAAUUGACGGGGGCCCGCACAAGCAGCGGAGCAUGUGGUUUAAUUCGAAGCAACGCGAAGAACCUUACCAGGUCUUGACAUCCAGGUAAAGCCGUAGAGAUACGGUGUGUGCUUGCACAAUCUGAGACAGGUGGUGCAUGGUUGUCGUCAGCUCGUGUCGUGAGAUGUUGGGUUAAGUCCCGCAACGAGCGCAACCCUUGUGAUCAGUUACUAACGGGUAAUGCCGAGGACUCUGAUAAGACUGCCGGGGACAACUCGGAGGAAGGUGGGGACGACGUCAAAUCAUCAUGCCCCUUAUGACCUGGGCUACACACGUGCUACAAUGGCCACGACAGAGAGAAGCGAAUUCGAGAGGAAGAGCGGAUCUCAAAAAAGUGGUCCCAGUUCGGAUUGUGGGCUGCAACCCGCCCACAUGAAGUCGGAGUUGCUAGUAAUCGCGGAUCAGCAUGCCGCGGUGAAUACGUUCCC
rnacentral:rRNA from 1 species